rnacentral:rRNA from 1 species
UACGAAGGGGGCUAGCGUUGUUCGGAAUUACUGGGCGUAAAGCGCGUGUAGGCGGUUAUCCAAGUCGGGUGUGAAAGCCUUGAGCUCAACUCAAGAAAUGCAUUCGGUACUGGGUGACUAGAGGACCGGAGAGGAUAGUGGAAUUCCCAGUGUAGUGGUGAAAUACGUAGAGAUUGGGAAGAACACCAGUGGCGAAGGCGGCUAUCUGGACGGUUUCUGACGCUAAGACGCGAAAGCGUGGGGAGCAAACAGG